rnacentral:rRNA from 1 species
UACGAAGGGUGCAAGCGUUACUCGGAAUUACUGGGCGUAAAGCGUGCGUAGGUGGUGAGUUAAGUCUGUCGUGAAAGCCCCGGGCUCAACCUGGGAAUGGCGAUGGAUACUGGCUCGCUAGAGUGCGGUAGAGGAGAGUGGAAUUCCCGGUGUAGCAGUGAAAUGCGUAGAGAUCGGGAGGAACAUCAGUUGCGAAGGCGGCUCUCUGGACCAGCACUGACACUGAGGCACGAAAGCGCGGGGAGCAAACAGG